rnacentral:misc_RNA from 1 species
GAUGAAGAACGCAGCGAAAUGCGAUAAGUAAUGUGAAUUGCAGAAUUCAGUGAAUCAUCGAAUCUUUGAACGCACAUUGCGCCCGCCAGUAUUCUGGCGGGCAUGUCUGUCUGAGCGUCAUUUCAACCCUCAUGCCCCUAGGGCGUGGUGUUGGGGAUCGGCCAAAGCCCGCAAGGGACGGCCGGCCCCUAAAUCUAGUGGCGGACCCGUCGUGGCCUCCCCUGCGAAGUAGUGAUAUUCCGCAUAGGAGAAGCGACGAGCCCCUGCCGUUAAACCCCCAACUUUCUCAGGUUGACCUCAGAUCAGGUAGGAAUACCCGCUGAACUUAAGCAUAUCAAUAAGCGGAGGA